ACCUGGUGCAGGGACUCUUUUCCCCAUCACUGAAACCCAACUCAUCACAGAGUUACUGUAAUGUAGCAUUUACUGUUGUUGAGUGGUGUUUUCCAGCUCCAUUCCUCCAGUACCCCCAACAGUACACUUUUUUGUUGUAACCCUGGACAAAAAAAGGGCUUAAUGAUUAAUUGACAAGUAGAAUCAGGUGUGCAAGUAUGGGGCCAUAACACACAUGUACUGUUGGGAGAACUGGAGUUGGGACAUAGUGGCUCUUGCAUUUUGUUAAGAGAUUGAUUGACUGGCAACAUUGUUGCUACAUUUGGGAGAAACUUCAUCAAUUUUGUUUGGAACAAAUCGUAGAUUGCUUAGGGCUGACAAGAUAAAGGUAAACUGCAGGCAAGGAGUUUAACUUGGUGUGUCCCUAGAUCAAUCCCUUUCUGGAGACCUGAUUUCUGCUCAAAUGUUUUCUAAAAUGGCAAACAAAUUGAAAUGUUUAUGUUAUUUGGACGUCAAAGUUAAGAAACUGCUUGUGUCGUGUUUAUUCUGCUCUGCUUGGUAUAGUGGGCUAUCAAAAAAGCAGGUCAUGUAUAUGCUGAAUGUUCCCCCUAGGACCCACAGUGUUAUCAGGUAUAUGCUGAAUGUUCCCCCUAGGACCCACAGUGUUAUCAGGUAUAUGCUGAAUGUUCCCCCUAGGACCCACAGUGUUAUCAGGUAUAUGCUGAAUGUUCCCCCUAGGACCCACAGUGUUAUCAGGUAUAUGCUGAAUGUUCCCCCUAGGACCCACAGUGUUAUCAGGUAUAUGCUGAAUGUUCCCCCUAGGACCCACAGUGUUAUCAGGUAUAUGCUGAAUGUUCCCCCUAGGACCCACAGUGUUAUCAGGUAUAUGCUGAAUGUUCCCCCUAGGACCCACAGUGUUAUCAGGUAUAUGCUGAAUGUUCCCCCUAGGACCCACAGUGUUAUCAGGUAUAUGCUGAAUGUUCCCCCUAGGACCCACAGUGUUAUCUGGUAUAUGCUGAAUGUUCCCCCUAGGACCCACAGUGUUAUCAGGUAUAUGCUGAAUGUUCCCCCUAGGACCCACAAUGUUAUCUGGUAUAUGCUGAAUGUCCCCCUUAGGACCCACAUAGGGGUACAGGAGUUCUGGAGAAGUGGGCUUGUUACCUGUGGACCAACUUAAUCAUAAGUUUGACAUCUUAAAUGAUCGUGCCCCAGGUUACAUGAAAAACCACAUUGGUAUGGUAUAUAACCAACAGCCACAAUACCAGAGCUAGUACUAUGUCUUGUAAAAUCCAAGAGUAAACAGUGCUGUGAGGACCAUUUUUCCGUACAGGCAUUUGUCUAUGGAAUAGCCUCCCCUUGGAGAUCAAGAAAAAUAGCUUUAAAAAGCAGGCAAAGAUUUAUUUGGACAAGGUUGUCCAAGUAAGAGAAACCACUCCACUGCCCCGGUGUGAUGUGAAAUGAAUAUGGUUAGGGGAAAGUGACACAUUAGGAUAUCAAUGUUCAUGGUUGUUUAAUUUUGUCUUGCCUUUUAAUCAGUUAUUGUUUUUACCUUCAAGGUCACUUUGGGAACAAGCAUUUUAAUGAAUACUUUCAAGUGAUAUCCUCUGGGUCCACAUUGAACAUUUGGUUGUAUGUCUGUUACCCAAAAUAAAUUCAAUUCCUCUUAUCGCCCCUUGGU